CUAAUAAUUUUGUGUCAAUUAGAUUUGACUUUCUCUU
rnacentral:tRNA from 1 species